rnacentral:rRNA from 1 species
CAGCAGGAGGAGGGUGUCCCGCGUAAGGGUAAGGUAGGAGGUUUGUGUUCGGUUGUCUUGGAAGGUAGGUAGGUCUAGAGCGGCUGCGGCCGGCUGAGGUGGAGGGGGUGCGGCAGCGACGGCAGGGAGGCCGCCGCGCGGCCGAGCCCGUGCUACGUCGGCCACGGCCCGCGGCUUGGGAGGAGGAGGAGGAGCAAGCCGCUGCGGGCGGAGUUCGGGGGAAGGGGAGGGGGGGCGGGAACCGUGAGGGUGGAGAGGAUUGAGGGAGGGGAGUGGAUGCGCGACGGAGUGGGUAGAUUGGGGAGAGGGAGUGAGCGGGGAGGGGGCCGUAAAGAGCUGUUGAGCCUGGCUAGAGCGAGUUGGCGCCUGGCCUAGACGAAUGAGGCACCCGAGGCGACUAGCGGCUAACGAAGAGUCGUCGAGUCCAUGAAAUGUUGGUCCCUAGUGCGGCAUGGCUAGACGCGGCGGUGUCCACUGUUCACUGAAAUACCCACUAAACCGAAGACUAAGACUUUUUAAUGGGUACCUCCCAGUGCCAUACAGAAGACAGACGUUCCUACUGUAUCGAGACGAUCUCCUCCGUGAAGGAGGUCGCCCCGUCCGAGGUGCAAGUACACACCUUGAGGUAGUAUCGGUCUUUCCUUGAGUAUUUGUUCCGUCCCUACAACCAAGAAACCUCUGACUUCACCUAUGAAGUCCAAGAGGGUCGAGUCCUUAUUUCUCUCCGUUUCCUCCACUACCCUCGAGGGUACGUUAGAGGUUAGUGUAACUUGGUUUCCUUAGAAGUUGAAUACUCGCAAGCAGCAGGAAAGGCAGCUGCAGUUCCGAAGAGCAGAGGCGAUACUUUCCUCCGGCACUCUCUUCACCACUUUGUAGCGGUUGACCUCAGGCGGUGCAAUUAACCCGGGGUCUACACAUGCUGGGGGGCCAGUGGAGACAGCUGGUGUGCCACUUCCCGGUGGUUGUCGCGAGGUCCAGGUCCUUCUUCCUGUUCCCGUUCGUCUUUGUCUUCGUCUUCUUCUCCUUCAGCGCACCCUUGUCGUUCUUCUCGCCGCCGGAGGUGCUGCGGCGGGUGUUGGGCGAACGAGAGCUGCACGGGCCCGGCAGAAGCGGACUUCUUGAUCCGAAUCCCCUUCACCUCCUCCGGCUCCACGACCUGAUGUCGCGGAAGCUGUCAGUCCUCGGGUUCACGCCUCCGCCGAAGGGUGCGCUCUAGCGGCGCCGCGCCUGCACAAAGGGGCGGCGGCUCCGCAGUACUCACGGCUGCCACCGGACCCUGGGGGCCUGGGGCCUCCUCCACAUCUAUCUAUGCCAACCACAUGUAUUUAUUCUCUUUAGGUCCGACACACUCUACUCUACUCUACGGGAAAGAUAUAUUCGAAAACCGACCGUAGGAAAUAGUCAUUCAUCACAUCACACGAUGUGCAACACACGACGACAAGGCAAACAUCGGUGCCUGACCACUCUAGACUCUUAUUAACUUAGGGGAAAGCUCCCUCAACAGUAGGUAACACGAUUAGAAUAGAACCCAGGUUACAGUACGUAACGAGUAAUGACCAUAGUCCAGUGUAGUCAGUAGUCACCGUCUGACAACUCGAUCGAACGAUCGACGAAUGAAUUUCGCCGUUCCGACCACAUGUGGUACUCUCCUCCUUGCUUCGAGUUUAGGCGGUCUCGUCUCGUAACUAGGGAGGGAGUACCGGUACCGGCGGCGGUGGCUCGUCGAGGAGGGGGUCCUCGUCGCGGCGGCAGCUGUCCAUGCCCCCGAGCGGCAGAGACGGGACGACGGCCACUACGACGAGCGGCGGCGACCGGGAGAGGCAGGAUCCGACAAGGCGCGCGGUGACGGCGUCCUCGCGCAGCGCGAGUGGGAAGAGAGGCCGCGCUUCCUCUUCCCACGUCCAUGUGAUAUGACAUAUAUAUCGAAAGAAGGAAGGUCGGUAAGUAGACCUCAAAUAAACCAGACCAAAGUCACACGCACCUGCCUUGUGGCGGACCAAUGGUGGACGUCUCCCCGAGGCCACUGCCGCGGCUGGCGACCGAGCAGGUAGAUCUCCCUCCUCCGACCACGUCGUGUCAGUUCCUUACAAGCCUGUCGUCUGACAGGUGGUUUCCAAGUAGGUUGAAGUACUUUGGCUAUGCCAAGUACCCGUUACCCUAGGAGCCGCCGCUAGUCGAUGUCUUAGGACCAUUGAUGUCUUAGGAGCCAACCGGAGGAAUAAACAAGGUAGAGAAAGGUACAGGAACGCGAUUAAAACCAGCCGCACAACUGUCUAAAGAUGUUGACCUUGUUUCAGAUGCACGCCAUGACGCUACCCCGCAGCAAAAGACCCCUGCGCCUUCGAGUUCGUGUCCUACCUUGGUGCGAUAUGAAAUCUCCUAACGCAUAGAAACUUCGUCGAUAGCUGCUUGAGUACCUUUUUUCUAUGAAUUAAAGAACCCAAUUAUAUUCGAAUCGCCGCCUUUACCCUUUUUUUGAGUACAAAGAUGUGUAAAGUCCGGGAGAAAUGUCCGACAAGACGACCACGAGAUAGGUACUACGACGUAACGCUACUAAAAGCACGUUCUAAAGGCGUCCUCCAAAGUCAAUUUACGAAACGCCUACGACCCAAAAAGGAACUACUUUUCCUAUAUAGGCCUUUUUCCAGGGAAACCAGAGACAUGCUAUCAGUAAGUGGAGGUCUUACAAUCUUUUCACAACGGGUUCCUGACGGAACGGUUGUUCCUCGGUUGGCUCACGAAGAAGGGCCGUCUCGAAUAAUUCUCGUAGGCGUGGGGGUACAAAUAAGAGUUGGGAUCAAUACUAAGUACCGUCUAUGCUUUACAAGAACAUGGACUAAGUAGACGAGGACUGUUUAGUACCAACUCAACGUUCCUUUUAUAGGCUUUGACGUUAAGAUGUGUUCAACUUCAGGAGCUACCUGACUCCUUAUUCUACCAGUUACUGAACUUCCAGCAGCUUCUGUUCCUCCUGACCCCGUACAAGUAGCUAAGUACGAAGUGCGUGACGGUUAGCGAGAGGCCGCAGAGAACCGUAAGUGGUUGGAGGGGCUUCGAACUUUUAUUCUGGUAACGUCUUCGACAACCUCUGACCGUGAGACCUUCCUCGGUUCCUCGGUUUCUCUAACUGACGUUCAUAGUCACGUUGGGUUGUACGUUGUCAAACGGCGGAGGUGCCCUACAAUGACGUAAGCUGGCACAGCUCUAGAUGAUUCAUUUCCAAGCUCUUUUCCCCUCCCCCCUCCGUCGUUAGUAGUAUAACAUGACCGGUAAUUUCACUUUUAUUAUGAGUAGUACUUACUUCUGUUAUUAGUACUCCUAUAAGCUCGAUUUUGAAGACCACAUCUGAACCGAUGUGGGACAAAGUCAAUCAAAACGACGACUGUAAACAGUACUGAAACUAGAGGGGCAAUAAUUUCUAGUUCCAGACGUUUACUGCCACGUGGGUUACUUUUACAAGUAACUUACUCCUAAUUUUGACCUCAAUAAAUAUCGAUUUCGCGGUUUACUACGGGUACAC